GUCGCCCUUGGAAUAAAAAGAGAGUGACAGUUUGUAUUAUUGUCAUUAUUAAUUCAGGAAUACAAAUAGACCCACAGACUGCUAGGAAAGCUGAGCCCAACCCACUAUGUCCCCCUCAGCUGCAAAUGGCCUUGGCAUAAGAUACAGUAAAUCUCAUAAAAGGUUCAUGCGACCUAUCAUUUGUAUGAAACAAACAAGGAAACCUGAGAGGAAUCCGUGCAUGCAAUCCUGUGAGAGUUAACAUCACACUAUGCAUUAUCCAUUAGACAGUCACCCAAAAUCUGCAAGUCAAUGAGUGCACAUUUGAAUAUGUUAAGUGCUGUAUAAUACUAACUCUUAUUUAUUAUUAUUAUUACAUUCUGAGAUGUCCGCUCCUUCAAGAUAGGCAAGUCAAAACUGAAUGACUCACGAACAAAACCUAGAAAUUCCCCAAACAUAUGCGUCACCACACAUGACCUGUCAAAUACCAUCUGGCUAUUGAUAAUUAACUGUUUCAGAAAAAGGAAACAUUUCCCUUGUAUUAAUGCAGGUGAAACUAUGGCAACAUGUGCAGUCUAUGCAACCCCAAAUUUCAGGAAAUCCAGAGUUGAAAGAAUCCACCACAUACGUCAUUUUUUGUCUCAGGGAAAACAAUUAUCAGCAGCAUGCUGAAAUGUUAUGGCAACUGUGAAUGGGCUAAAGCACUUGAAUGCUGUGGAUUGACAGAUGUCACACACAGGGAAACCAUUACACUCUUCAGACAGGGACUGGCAUGUAUAUAUUAGGUAGUGGGGAAGCAGAUUUCAUAGGUCUCGGAUGGCACAUUUCUCCUAUCUGAAGUGCUGGAUGCAUUCCCUAGCUCAGAGAUCCAGUGCUAGUGUCUUGGGUCUAUACAUUUUCUUAUUUCCAUUUCAUCCAUGUCUUAGUGAUGCCUCAUCAGUAGAUGCCAUGAUAAACAUCAGUGAAGCCAUUAUCUGACCUUCCUAGGAAUCUGACAAUGAAAAGAGCUGGAAGAUUGUUAGAGUAGGCCAAAGGGGGAGUCAAAUAAAGCACCAUUCAUGCAUACUUUUCA
rnacentral:lncRNA from 1 species